GACGAACCCUUGCGGCGUGCUUAACACAUGCAAGUCGAACGGAAAGGCCCUGCUUUUGUGGGGUGCUCGAGUGGCGAACGGGUGAGUAACACGUGAGUAACCUGCCCUUGACUUUGGGAUAACUUCAGGAAACUGGGGCUAAUACCGGAUAGGAGCUCCUGCUGCAUGGUGGGGGUUGGAAAGUUUCGGCGGUUGGGGAUGGACUCGCGGCUUAUCAGCUUGUUGGUGGGGUAGUGGCUUACCAAGGCUUUGACGGGUAGCCGGCCUGAGAGGGUGACCGGCCACAUUGGGACUGAGAUACGGCCCAGACUCCUACGGGAGGCAGCAGUGGGGAAUAUUGCACAAUGGGCGGAAGCCUGAUGCAGCAACGCCGCGUGCGGGAUGACGGCCUUCGGGCUGUAAACCGCUUUCGCCUGUGACGAAGCGUGAGUGACGGUAAUGGGUAAAGAAGCACCGGCUAACUACGUGCCAGCAGCCGCGGUGAUACGUAGGGUGCGAGCGUUGUCCGGAUUUAUUGGGCGUAAAGGGCUCGUAGGUGGUUGAUCGCGUCGGAAGUGUAAUCUUGGGGCUUAACCCUGAGCGUGCUUUCGAUACGGGUUGACUUGAGGAAGGUAGGGGAGAAUGGAAUUCCUGGUGGAGCGGUGGAAUGCGCAGAUAUCAGGAGGAACACCAGUGGCGAAGGCGGUUCUCUGGGCCUUUCCUGACGCUGAGGAGCGAAAGCGUGGGGAGCGAACAGGCUUAGAUACCCUGGUAGUCCACGCUGUAAACGGUGGGUACUAGGUGUGGGGUCCAUUCCACGGGUUCCGUGCCGUAGCUAACGCUUUAAGUACCCCGCCUGGGGAGUACGGCCGCAAGGCUAAAACUCAAAGGAACUGACGGGGCCCCGCACAAGCGGCGGAGCAUGCGGAUUAAUUCGAUGCAACGCGUAGAACCUUACCUGGGUUUGACAUGGAUCGGGAGUGCUCAGAGAUGGGUGUGCCUCUUUUGGGGUCGGUUCACAGGUGGUGCAUGGCUGUCGUCAGCUCGUGUCGUGAGAUGUUGGGUUAAGUCCCGCAACGAGCGCAACCCUUGUUCACUGUUGCCAGCACGUUAUGGUGGGGACUCAGUGGAGACCGCCGGGGUCAACUCGGAGGAAGGUGGGGAUGACGUCAAGUCAUCAUGCCCCUUAUGUCCAGGGCUUCACGCAUGCUACAAUGGCUGGUACAGAGAGUGGCGAGCCUGUGAGGGUGAGCGAAUCUCGGAAAGCCGGUCUCAGUUCGGAUUGGGGUCUGCAACUCGACCUCAUGAAGUCGGAGUCGCUAGUAAUCGCAGAUCAGCAACGCUGCGGUGAAUACGUUCCCGGG
rnacentral:rRNA from 1 species